rnacentral:rRNA from 1 species
AACGAACGCUGGCGGCGUGCCUAACACAUGCAAGUCGUGCGAGAAAGUUCCUUCGGGAGCGAGUAAAGCGGCGCACGGGUGAGUAACACGUAGGUAACCUGCCCCCCAGUCUGGAACAACUAGAGGAAACUCUAGCUAAUGCCGGAUGAGACCACGAUCCCUUCGGGGGUUGCGGCCAAAGAUGGCCUCUACUUGUAAGCUAUCGCUGAGGGAUGGGCCUGCGGGCCAUUAGCUUGCUGGUGAGGUAACGGCUCACCAAGGCUGUGAUGGCUAGCUGGUCUGAGAGGAUGACCAGCCACACUGGGACUGAGACACGGCCCAGACUCCUACGGGAGGCAGCAGUGGGGAAUAUUGCGCAAUGGGCGAAAGCCUGACGCAGCGACGCCGCGUGGGUGAUGAAGG